CUGUCCAACGUUAAUCGGGGCAGGGUGAGUCGACCCCUAAGGCGAGGCCGAAAGGCGUAGUCGAUGGGAAACAGGUUAAUAUUCCUGUACUUGGUGUUACUGCGAAGGGGGGACGGAGAAGGCUAUGUUGGCCGGGCGACGGUUGUCCCGGUUUAAGCGUGUAGGCUGGUUUUCCAGGCAAAUCCGGAAAAUCAAGGCUGAGGCGUGAUGACGAGGCACUACGGUGCUGAAGCAACAAAUGCCCUGCUUCCAGGAAAAGCCUCUAAGCAUCAGGUAACAUCAAAUCGUACCCCAAACCGACACAGGUGGUCAGGUAGAGAAUACCAAGGCGCUUGAGAGAACUCGGGUGAAGGAACUAGGCAAAAUGGUGCCGUAACUUCGGGAGAAGGCACGCUGAUAUGUAGGUGAAGUCCCUCGCGGAUGGAGCUGAAAUCAGUCGAAGAUACCAGCUGGCUGCAACUGUUUAUUAAAAACACAGCACUGUGCAAACACGAAAGUGGACGUAUACGGUGUGACGCCUGCCCGGUGC
rnacentral:rRNA from 1 species